CGAGGUGGCCUGGAAUUAAAUAUAUAAUUAUCUUCCUGUAAUCAACUCAUUACAUUAAUUUUCUUGCAAAAUUGGUCUAGAUGACUUCUUUCCUUUCUCGUCCUUUAGAGAAAUUAAAAGCCACAGAGAUUGUCUUAUGAAGACAAGCAUUUCUGGUACCUAGAGACAAAAGUCUGAUGAGUGCUAUGAAAAACCCUGUGGUGUCAUCACAGACCUAAACAAAUGAGGUGCAGUGUCACAGCCUGAGAGCUGUUUAAGGUAGGUUUAUGGUUCCCAAUCCUUCCGUCAUAGAAGGAAAAUAAGCAGAGUGUAUUACUGGAUGCAGUUAUAUUCCCUGCCUUCUUCCCAGGGCUGUUGCUGCCUCUUCAAAAUUGGGUUCUGGAAGCCCAGUAUGGAGAGCCCAGAGAAGUUCUGUGGUUUGCUCACUUGUUCUCUGCUCUUCUGUGGUCACAAAACCAAUGCUUCUGCUCGGCUGGCAGCUCAGGAAAUCCUCCCUUCUGCAGGGUUGUUUCUCUUUGUACACAGAUGAUGACGUUUUUAUUUCUGGAUCACUUCCCAUUUGCCCAUUUCUGGGAACAAUUGAAUCCUGGAAUAAAUGGUUGCUUGUUUAUUAUAUAUUUGCAAGAAACUGAAGAUAAAUGAGAACCAUGAACUUAAGCCUCACCCUGUGACAUGAAGAAAGCAGCUCCAGUUCACAUCUAGUUCCACGACUGUCUUCUAUGAGCUGGAAGAUUUUGCUUCCCUCUCAAGAGGGAGGAGCAGCCAGCCUGCCUUCUCACUGUCAGGAAAACAGACAUUCCUCUUCCCUUCUCCACCUUCAGGUGUCACUAAAGGAGCUUUGCUGUUUUCUGAGACUUGGUCAACCUUCCUUUCUGUUCAUGUAACCUCUUUGCAUAACAGUAUUCACUCUCCCAGGGCUCAGCUGUAAAUGUACCAGGCCUAGAACACAGGACACAUUUCUGGCAUAGAACGAGAUACUAAAACUUAUAUCUGAUUACCUUAGACAUUAAAUUACUGAAGCUCUUUGCAGUGUUGCAUAAGGAAUUAAUUGCACAUACACGCAUUCACUUGCUAUGAAAUAAACAGACCAGACAUUUUCCCCAUGAGGAAAAGCUGUCACAUCCAUAUUGAACAGGACUUGGAUACUGCAGGCAACACCUCUCUGAACCUGCCCAAACCCUGAACUGCCCUUUAGCUAGGUAGCCCUGCAGACACACACAGGGAUCCUCUACCAGAGCUGGCAGAUGGCAGAGGCCAUAUCCAAAAGAAGCCUGGAGGGAACAGCACAAAGGAUGUGGCAGCAUUAACAAUACACUGAAUAACCAACAGGGAGAGAAAGAAAAGAAGAAAAAAGCCAUUCCCAAACUGAUAUAGAUCUUUAAUUUAAAACUGAGUAAGUUUAUUCAUUGGGAAAGUGCAACAAAAUACCCCAAGGAUAGUGCAUUCCACUCCAACAAUUAAAAUCAUGUAAAAAACGAGAUAGGAAGGUCUGAGCCUUAAAGAGAACUGGUACAAAAGCUGGUGCUUUUCUUUGUUUCUAUAUAUUUAUCUUUGGGUGGCAGAGAUGGUCACUGAUUAAUUUUUUCGGUACUUUUCAACUUCAUUUCUUCUAAUGCAAGUCAUUCUGUUCCUUAACAGAUGCUGUCUUGGGACUGGAGGACCAUAAUCUGCAGGUACUUAAGAGGGGACAGUUUUUAAGAAUGGGGAUAUAGGGUUCAGUCACAUACUCCCAUCUAGGAGCUACUAGCCAUUCUAAGUAGACAUUGCCCCCAGCUGUUUCCCUCUAAAAUCUUAGGUAUGCAAAAAAAGUCAUUCUACUCAUAAGAGCAGUUUCUGACACAGCUGAGGAGGUAUAAGCAGGCAAGAGGAGAGCACAGGACUAUAGCAAGCUUAUAGUAGGUGCUGCUUGAGGGAGCUGCUAGUUUCCAAUCACUGAACCAAUUUUUGUGGUAGAGGUUAGCUUAGCCCUCUUGGAAAUGCUGCAGGUAGGUCUCACACCCGUAGUGGCCUAUUCUCACUCAUGCUACUGCACUUCAGCUGAGCAGCACAAGCCCAGUAGGAUUCUUUAAUCCUUCGCAAUUACGUAUCUUUUGCUAGCACUUUCUGCCCAAUGAUUUCAAAAUACUUUAUAAGCAUCACUGUACCAAGCUUAAAAUUCUUUGACACACAAAUAUUUUAAAUGGAACA